rnacentral:tRNA from 1 species
GGGCUUGUGGUCUAGUGGUAUGACGUCACCUUGACAUGGUGAAGAUCGGCAGUUCGAUUCUGCCCAAGCCCA